UACGUAGGGCGCAAGCGUUGUCCGGAAUUAUUGGGCGUAAAGAGCUCGUAGGCAGCUUGUCACGUCGGAUGUGAAAGCCCGAGGCUUAACCUCGGGUCUGCAUUCGAUACGGGCUAGCUAGAGUGUGGUAGGGGAGAUCGGAAUUCCUGGUGUAGCGGUGAAAUGCGCAGAUAUCAGGAGGAACACCGGUGGCGAAGGCGGAUCUCUGGGCCAUUACUGACGCUGAGGAGCGAAAGCGUGGGGAGCGAACAGG
rnacentral:rRNA from 1 species